rnacentral:rRNA from 1 species
GUCCACGCCCUAACGAUGAUGACUAGUUGUUGGAGGAGUUAAAUCCUUUAGUAACGCAGCUAACGCGAGAAGUCAUCCGCCUGGGAGUACGGUCGCAAGAUUAAACUCAAAGGAAUUGACGGGCCCGCACAAGCGGUGGAUGAUGUGGUUCAAUUCGACGCAACGCGAAAACCUUACCUACCCUUGACAUGUACGGAAUCCUGCAGAGAUGCAGGAGUGCCCGAAAGGGAGCCGUAACACAGGUGCUGCAUGGCUGUCGU